UAAAGGUAGGGCACUGACGGUCUUUUUCCGGCAACGGGAAAAGCUAAGAGGGAACACGGUUCGCCCACUUCUCGGGUCAAUCCGUGGCUGCCCCCGCAACUGUAAGCGGCGAGCCCACACCGUAAAGCCACUGGAUUUCGAUCCGGGAAGGCGGUGCAAGGGCGCUCGUUCAAGCCGCAAGCCAGGAGACCUGCCGUUUCAGAACAAAACGU
rnacentral:ncRNA from 2 species